rnacentral:rRNA from 1 species
GCGAGUGAAGCGGCAACAGCUCAAAUUUGAAAGCUGGCUCCGGCCCGCAUUGUAAUUUGCAGAGGAUGCUUUUGGCGAGGUGCCUUCCGAGUUCCCUGGAACGGGACGCCAUAGAGGGUGAGAGCCCCGUAUGGAUGGACACCAAACCUGUGUAAAGCUCCUUCAACGAGUCGAGUAGUUUGGGAAUGCUGCUCUAAAUGGGAGGUAAAUCUCUUCUAAAGCUAAAUACCGGCCAGAGACCGAUAGCGCACAAGUAGAGUGAUCGAAAGAUGAAAAGCACCUUGAAAAGGGGGUUAAACAGUACGUGAAAUUGUUGAAAGGGAAGCAUUUAUGACCAGACUUGCGCCGGGCAGCUCAUCAGGGGUUCUCCCCUGUGCACUCUGCCCGGCUCAGGCCAGCAUCGGUUCUCGUGGGAGGAUAAGAACAGUGGGAACGUGGCCCCCUCUCGGGGGGGUGUUAUAGCCCAUUGUACGAUACUCUCGUGGGGACCGAGGUUCGCGCUCCGCAAGGAUGCUGGC